AUUUCUCUAGAAAAAAAGAAAAAAGAAAACAAAAAGAAAGAAGCAAAACAUAAACAAAGACAGAAAACGAAAUCUAAAAUCAAACAUGCACCUUUCUUGGAAAGCUACUUGUGCUGCCUUGUUCAUUUCUUGAGCUUUUUGGGAAUAGGCACACUGGAACUUGUUUCCCAAAUUGUUUAUGUAAGUGGUUACACUUUAACUGAUGAGGAGGAAGAAGACUGUCAGUAGUAACAGUGUCAGAUUAGAACUCUUUGUUUUCUGUUCUCUCCCUGGAAACAUGAUUACCACAUCCUCUGAUGAUGGAUUGGACACCGGAACCAAGGCUGUUGAGAGGUUGAGGCAACUUAUGAGGGAAGUAGCCCCUAAAACUACCAACUUUCAAGUACUUAUCCCUGAUUCAAAUUCCCAGCAUUUCAUCUUAGGUCCUGCAUCAGAAUUCGUAAAUGAUGCCCCUGACAUUCAUAUGAAUGAAUUUCUGAAAUGCAAAACUGAAGAUUUUCUUAUAAACAAUCAAAAUGCCAACUUCUAUAAAUGGUUUCAUUAUCAUCCUCGGUUUUGGCCAACUAAUCACCCUAAUUGGCUCUCUUGGUUUCAAAGAGUCGAAGAUCAAAAGCAGUAUAUUUGGCAUCAAGCUGGAAUCUAUGAUAUUCUCCAAUUCUCCAAGUUUACCAUUCCGUUCAAUCGUUCUUUAGUACUUGCUGCACUCUGCUUUUGGUCAUCUUCCACAAACUCUUUUCACCUUGGGCAUGGUCCCCUUACUAUUACUCUCUUAGAUCUUAGUGCUUUGGUAGGACUUAGACCAGAUGGCCCCCAGUUUGAUGCUCUUGUUGGUAAUUCCAUCUCCAUUCCAGAUGAUAACUUUGGCAUUAAGAUAACGAAGCUCGCCAAUUUUUCUUCCUUCAUUAGAGAACAUAACAAAGUUGAAGGAGUUGUCACAGAAGAAGAGCACGUAGCUUUUCUACACUACUGGCUUUGCCGUUACCUAAUUUGUUCUCCUUCAUUCAAGAUUAUAAAGGCCAAUUUACCCUUGGCUGUGGCUUUAUCUAGGGGCGAAUCAUACGCUUUAGGACCCCUUGUUCUUGCCUACUUGUAUAGAGGCAUCAACGACUUACUUCACUCUCAGUUGGGUACUGCUGGAGGUCCAUUAUGGAUUCUACAACUAUGGCUUCAUGCAUACUUUCCAAAAGUGCGCCCUGGUUGUUUUUCAGUUCACCAUCUCUCCUGUGAAGGACUAAAGUAUGUUUUGUACAAAGAGCCUGAAUGUUCAUUUCAUGAUUGUUUAAUGUAUAUGUGCCACUUUGACAGAGAGGAGAAUUUUAACUUCAUCCCAUAUUCAAAGUCAGAUGCUUUGCCUACAUGGUUGAUCUUUCCUCGGUCUGAAAUGACCAAGACCGAGCUUUCUACACUCGUGGACAUGUGGGCUAGCUUCCUUGUUAGUCGUGAUCUUCCUCUUGGUAUCAUGAUUGGGAAAUCUGCAAGUAAAACUUGCGGUGUUGAAGCAUAUUGCCCAAAUCUCUGUGCCCGUCAGUUCGGUCUGAUUCAAGGCAUUCCUACUCCUCCUUUCUUCUCUUUCAAUACCCAUUCCCCUGAAAGAACAAUAUUUCACACUUCUGAACAAUUCCUGGUGCUUAAGUUUACCACAUCUCUUUUGUUCAAGAAACUUAAAUUUGUUCCAUUUUCACUUCUACCUAGUGCCACCUCAUCCUUCCAAUGUUGGUGGGAAAAAUUCUAUAAGGAAGCCUUUCCUCAUGAUCAAGAUUUGAACUGUCUUUUUAAGCUUGAUGACUUGGACCAGAACAGACCCCUUCAUCCACCUAAGUCAACAUCUGCUUUCAACAAGCGUAAAGAGUUAACCUCCUUGCAAAUGGAAGGCGGCAGAUCUGACCAAUUGCAAGCACACCCACCAACAAAACGAAUGAAGUUUGUGGCUCAGCGAGCAAAGAGUUCCAGUGUAGCUCAUUGCAAAGAAGCCCAGGCUCUGGCUAAAUUUCAAUACCUGCCUGGACGAGGGAGAGCUCAUAGUAAAAAAAGAACGAUUAUAACAGAAUAUCAUUGUUUAAGAAGUAUGAUAAAGGGCAAUUAUCUAUUUCAUGCCAAGUCCAAGGAAGCCAUUGUUGACAAAAGCGGUUUAAGUGUCUCCAAAGGUUGUGGCAAGAAAAGGAUAACCAAAGAAGAAGAGCAUCGUUUUUUGAUAAAUCUAAUUAAGUCCAAUUCUCAAUCUCACUCUGAGGAAAAGAAAGCGACCUUUGAGAGAAACACAAGUCCUCUUCGAACGAAACCACAAUCUGAUGCUCCAGAUGAGGGAGACUUUGUUGAAUUAACUGAAGAUAACAUUAGUUCUAAGCUGAAAGAUCUUCCACUAACUCAGGCUUUGGAUGCAUCAAAUGGAGAGCUGCCUAUUCGAAUUUUGUCUCCAUCAACCCAAAUAGCUGAACCUCAGCUUCAUCCAGAGCCAAGCAUUCUAUUCCCACUUCAAGAACAGUCAUGUUAUCCAAAUCCUUCGAGGAAAGAAAGUGGUUUGCACUACUCUGGCUUUCAUGUGAAACGUGAUCUUAAGAUGUCAAAGCCUGAGCCCUCUAUCCGAGCUUUGGACUUUCUUGAAAGAUAUCUCAUCCAGCAUCCAGAUGUUUGCAUAGUCACCAACGCCAAAGAAGCUCUCAUUCCUAAUUCUGAUGAAAUUUCCAAAGCCAAGGCUGAGAUCCAAAGUAUUUCCACACUCUCUCUAGAUGAAGUCAUGGAGAUUGAAUGUUUACAUAACUUAAAAUCUUCGUUGGAAAUCUUGCUCAUAACGAAUGACCAAACUGGAGUUGAGUUUGCGAACAUUGAAAAUGUCCAGGAGAAGCUUGCUUUUGUGGAGUCCAAGUAUCACUUGGCUAGUGGAAUCACAGCUGAAGUUCAAAAACAAUUUAAUCAGAAAAUUGAACUGGAACAAGAAGUAGAAGUUUAUUCUCUUCGCUUUUCUAAAGCUCAAGAAGAUGAACCAAAGUUUCUGACUUGUAUCACUGUACAAAAAUCAAUCAUUGAAGAGCUUGAGAAAAAACUGGGUGAGGAGAAAGCUGUUUUGAAGAAACUGGAGGAGUUUCAUGCCAACGCCAAAACCAAAAUGGAUCAAAUCAGUUACAAGCUUGAGCGCACACAGAAGUUGCUUCAUGAUCACUGUAUCCAUGAGAAAGCUCGGGUGAAAAGAGCGUUGCAAGCCAAAAAGGACUUUGAAUCAAUGGAAGCGACUUGGGUUCAGAUCCAACAACUGCUUUCCUCAAUUAGUGAUUUGCCAAUGGAGGAAACAACCCCUUGAGGGUUGUCAUGGUAGAACUCAGCUGAUGUAGAGGUGAUAUUUUGGGAUGUUGUCCUUGUUUCCUUUGUCCUUCCCUUUUGUUCCCCUUUAAGUUAAAUGCAACAUAAUAUUAGAAAUGCAGUGGUGGUUGAGCAUCUUGGCAGGGAGGUGGUUUGGCUGCUUGUGCAUCUCUUAGUGCGAGAUUGCAGUAAAGGUGUUUAAGGAAUCCCUCUUCAAACUUGGGGAGGCUUGAGGGUUUGAAAAGUUGGAUGUGGUGGAGUCACCACGUGAUGGGGUACGUUUCGAGACACCACGUGAUGGGGUGUCUUCCUGAUCAAAUUAGAAGACGCCUAAGCAGUGAAGGAACCACCAGCUUCCAAUCUGCAAAAUCCAGAAGCUAAGACGAUAGUGACGCCGGGACUCGCCAUCGCAUCAUCAAGAAAUAUGGAGGCCACGGCUGCGAUCGAUCGAGGACCUUCCCAGAGUCACCUCGCGACACCGCUGGCACCAUGGGAAUCGCCAGCCUUCAAUUUGCAGAACCCCGGAAAGACGAUGCAGCUCGAUGCCGGAGAAGUCGCCGACGUGCCAUCGAUGAUUCCGCAGAAUCUGCCCAGCGGCAUUGGCGCUCCUCCUUUUGA